UGCUUAGCGACCUGCUCAACCAAGGAGAGGAGAGGGGGUCCGCACACAGAGAUACAAGCACACAGAGGAGAAAGCUGCCUGAAACUAAUUAGAAGGCGUCCGAAUAUCAGUUGUGUUCUAACUACAAAGAACAGCCCAAGUCAAGUACAGACGACUUCCAAAAAGGCACCGUCUGGGAACCAUUUUCAGAGAGCAGGUGAAGAGUCAGUGACUCACAAGGGCAGGCGGAGGAAACAAAAGUCAAAGAGCAACAGUUGAUCAAAGGGUUCAUUUCCACUCCACGCAUCGCUUGCCGACAACGCCACAGAACCCAUAAUUGUUUCUCCUUCAUCAGUGAACAUGUUUUGCUUGUGACCGCUUCAAGUAUGCACAGGUUCACAAAUCCACAUGUAUAGCAGGCUAAUAAAUGCUGCUAAUUAUAUUUCCUCCCCAAAAGGCUGCUAACCAUGCAAAUGAGAAGUGCUAAUCCUGUGCGGCAGAACUUGAAACGACAGCCAAACAGCCCAAGCACGCAGCUUGAAGGAUGCAGCAUAUGUCCUUCAGAAGGAUGCUGGAACUGACAUUUGCCGCAUCCAUAAUUCACCGUUUAGAUGGGGGGGGGCAGUUAAUUAGCAAUUUGCUGAUAGGAUAGGUGGCAUUUCCCAGGUAGGGAGGUACACGGUGACUACAUUUUUCUACUGAACAACAAAAAUGGACUGUCCUAAAAAGUACCAACACAUUAUUUCAUAGAGCCAAAUUUUAUGCAAAGCAUGCCUGAUCAUCAAAGGAGAAACAAAUGCUCACAGCAUUCUGAACGGAGCGCCUGCGUUUUACACAGAUCUGCCGUGUCCCCCAGGAAGGCACUUAAAACCCCCGCGGCCUCACAAGGAAAAGGUUUCACCCAACAUCAGGAGGCAUGACACGGGUAGAUACUUUGAAAACGUGAACCCGUCACUGCUACAUAAAUGACGAGCGUGUAAGGAGCCUUUGGCACUGGGAAAAGCAGGAGCUCACCUUUUCUUCAAUAGGGCAUUUUUCUUUGAGCCAGUGAUUCAGGACCUCAUCUUUGAAUGCGCCCGUGUUGCCCACUGUGCUUUGCUGUAUUUUAGCAAUUGUCGUGGCAUCUUUCACGAUCUCGAUCAUGCCUAUGGGAGGAGGCACAGAAUCUGAUGUAAAUUGGGGCCUCGUGCCUGACCCAGAGGGUGAAUGGCUGUGUCACUGUUGAUGGGAGGGGGCUGUUGUCCAGGUUUGUGCUGUUGGUUUUCUUAGGAGGGAGAGAAAGAAGAGGAGGAUGGAGGAAGUUUGGUGGGACAUGCUUUCAGUAUCCCUGAAUGAAAAUAUGAAAGGUUG